ensembl:rRNA 5S_rRNA 5S ribosomal RNA
GCCGGCAGUUAGCUCUCUGCAAUUCUCACAUGAUCGCCCACUGUAGCUAAGCAGGGCUGUGCCUGAUCAGUACCUCGAUGGGAGACCACAUUGGAAAGCUAGGUUGCUGCUGGAA